UACGAAGGGAGCUAGCGUUGUUCGGAAUUACUGGGCGUAAAGGGCGCGUAGGCGGCCAUGUAAGUCAGAUGUGAAAGCCCCGGGCUUAACCUGGGAACUGCAUUUGAUACUGCAAGGCUAGAGGAUGAGAGAGGAAAGUGGAAUUGCGAGUGUAGAGGUGAAAUUCGUAGAUAUUCGCAAGAACACCAGUGGCGAAGGCGGCUUUCUGGCUCAUUACUGACGCUAAGGCGCGAAAGCGUGGGGAGCAAACAGG
rnacentral:rRNA from 1 species